rnacentral:ribozyme from 1 species
GUACAUCCUUUCUAUUCUUCCCUUCCUCUCCAUUCUUUCCUACCGCGUUUUACCAUCAUCAGAACGAGAAUGAUAGUACCAGUUCUCACGAUUUAAAGGAAGAAGAAACAGAAGAAAUUAUAUUAUUUUCAUCCGCAUUAUCUAUGGGAAUAUCAGCACCAAUAGAAGAUGGAAGAUGCAGCAUUAUCAGUACCAUUAAAUUUGA